rnacentral:rRNA from 1 species
UCCUACGGGAGGCAGCAGUCGGGAAUAUUGCGCAAUGGAGGAAACUCUGACGCAGUGACGCCGCGUAUAGGAUGAAGGUUUUCGGAUUGUAAACUAUUGUCGUUAGGGAAGAUAAAAGACAGUACCUAAGGAGGAAGCUCCGGCUAACUACGUGCCAGCAGCCGCGGUAAUACGUAGGGAGCAAGCGUUAUCCGGAUUUAUUGGGUGUAAAGGGUGCGUAGACGGGAAAUUAAGUUAGUUGUGAAAUCCCUCGGCUUAACUGAGGAACUGCAACUAAAACUGGUUUUCUUGAGUGCGGGAGAGGAAAGUGGAAUUCCUAGUGUAGCGGUGAAAUGCGUAGAUAUUAGGAGGAACACCAGUGGCGAAGGCGACUUUCUGGACCGUAACUGACGUUGAGGCACGAAAGUGUGGGGAGCAAACAGGAUUAGAUACCCUGGUAGUCC